CAUCUACAUUGGUUUGAUCAGAUGAUGCCCGACUGAGAAUUCGUCCUGAAGGUGUAGUGUCAAAGAACGACAUGGGAGCACGAAGGAUACAGUUCAGAAUCUGCUUGAAAAAGGACUGAGCAGUCGCAAGCCCUAAAAAUGCAACAAGGAAGGCCCUCAUGGCCACAAGGAUUAUGGAGAGUAGGGCAAUAAUAGCAUAGACUUCAAUAAACAG
rnacentral:misc_RNA from 1 species